GAUGAACGCUGGCGGCGUGCCUAAUACAUGCAAGUCGAGCGAACAGACGAGGAGCUUGCUCCUCUGACGUUAGCGGCGGACGGGUGAGUAACACGUGGAUAACCUACCUAUAAGACUGGGAUAACUUCGGGAAACCGGAGCUAAUACCGGAUAAUAUAUUGAACCGCAUGGUUCAAUAGUGAAAGACGGUUUUGCUGUCACUUAUAGAUGGAUCCGCGCCGCAUUAGCUAGUUGGUAAGGUAACGGCUUACCAAGGCAACGAUGCGUAGCCGACCUGAGAGGGUGAUCGGCCACACUAGAACUGAGACACGGUCCAGACUCCUACGGGAGGCAGCAGUAGGGAAUCUUCCGCAAUGGGCGAAAGCCUGACGGAGCAACGCCGCGUGAGUGAUGAAGGUCUUCGGAUCGUAAAACUCUGUUAUUAGGGAAGAACAAAUGUGUAAGUAACUAUGCACGUCUUGACGGUACCUAAUCAGAAAGCCACGGCUAACUACGUG
rnacentral:rRNA from 1 species